GUCGAAAGGAAACUAGACAAAAAUCACAAGAUGUUUCCCGAUUGGGAACUUGUUUCAAUGAUGUGGCCGGAUCUCGUCGAUCAGACCUUUUACGUCAAGGUGUCUCUUAAGUCGCCCUCACAUGUCAAACUACUUUGUUUUCUGCAACAACGUGCAUACAGCUACUGCAUUUCGUUCCAACUUCGAAGAAGUUCUAAUUUUCUAAUUAUUAAACAUUAAAGAUGCCACAAGGUAAAAUCAAGGUGAAAGCUGCAAUGCCGACCAACGUAAAAGGGAAAAAAGUAAAGAAACUCGACAAAGCUCCACCCCAAAGAAAAGUACAACACAACCCUAUUGGACCAAGAAAGGUUCAAAUCAUGGAGGCCAGACAGAUGAGGAAGAAUAUUUCAAAAACCAUCAAUCAAACGCUUGAAGAUAGGCUCGUUUCUCAAGUGUCUCAGGAUGGCAAACCUUUGGCAGUAAUUGGUCGGAAAGCUGCCCAGGAAGCCAAAGCAGAAAAAGCAAAGAAAGGAAAAAAAUAAAUUUACAAUUUUAAUCAAAUUUGUAUAUUUUCCGUGAUGCUUAAAUGUGAUUAAGUAUAAUAUGGGCUACCACCAAAACAAAGUA